rnacentral:rRNA from 1 species
AAGAGAGAGACAUGCGCGCAUAUCAAUAAGCGGAGGAAAAGAAACUAACAAGGAUUCCCCUAGUAACGGCGAGUGAAGCGGGAAGAGCUCAAAUUUGAAAUCUUAAAGGGUUUCCCUUUACGAAUUGUAGUUUAAAGAAGUGCUUUUCUGUUGAGGUUUUGGUAAAAGUUCUUUGGAAUAGGACAUCAUAGAGGGUGAGAAUCCCGUAUUUGACCUUUACUUUCAACUUUGUGAUACACUUUCAAAGAGUCGGAUUGUUUGGGAAUGCAGUCCAAAAUGGGUGGUAAAUUUCAUCUAAAGCUAAAUAUUGGCGAGAGACCGAUAGCGAACAAGUACCGUGAGGGAAAGAUGAAAAGAACUUUGAAAAGAGAGUUAAACAGUACGUGAAAUUGUCAAAAGGGAAGCGUUUGACACCAGUGUUGUUUUUCUGAAAAUCAAUUAAAGAACUGUUUAUGCUAAGUUGUUUAGACUUUAUCAGCUAACUGUUUAGUUUUGAGCUUUUCUUUAAUGCACUUUUCAGUUAACAAGUCAACAUCAAUUUCUUUUGCUGUAAAAAAGCUUGAGGAAGGUGGCUUGAGAUUCGUCUUAAGUGUUUAUAGCCUCUUGCCUAUGCAGUCGGAGAGAUUGAGGUCUGCAGCGUAGAUCCUUCGGGGCUAAAUGCAUUUGUGCUAAGUUAUAGCAUUUUAUAGACAACUUGUUGACUAUGAUUUGUCUUGUAGCUUACUCGCUUAUGUUAUUUUACCUACGCUUAGGAUGUUGAGCGCAUGUCUCUCUCU